UACGGGGGGUGCGAGCGUUGUCCGGAAUCACUGGGCGUAAAGGGCGCGUAGGUGGUCUGAUAAGGGUGUGGUGAAAGUCCGGGGCUCAACCCCGGAUCUGCCGUGCCGACUGUCAGACUCGAGGACUGUAGAGGCAGGCGGAAUUCCGGGUGUAGCGGUGGAAUGCGUAGAGAUCCGGAGGAAGACCGGUGGCGAAGGCGGUCUGCUGGGCAGUUCUGACACUGAGGCGCGGCAGCGUGGGGAGCAAACAGGG
rnacentral:rRNA from 1 species